CGAACGGGUGAGUAACACGUGAGCAACCUGCCCCAAGCUUUGGGAUAACCCCGGGAAACCGGGGCUAAUACCGAAUAGGACCUUUGGCCGCAUGGCCGGGGGUGGAAAGUUUUUCGGCUUGGGAUGGGCUCGCGGCCUAUCAGCUUGUUGGUGGGGUGAUGGCCUACCAAGGCGACGACGGGUAGCCGGCCUGAGAGGGCGACCGGCCACACUGGGACUGAGACACGGCCCAGACUCCUACGGGAGGCAGCAGUGGGGAAUAUUGCACAAUGGGCGGAAGCCUGAUGCAGCGACGCCGCGUGAGGGAUGACGGCCUUCGGGUUGUAAACCUCUUUCAGCAGGGACGAAGCGAGAGUGACGGUACCUGCAGAAGAAGCACCGGCCAACUACGUGCCAGCAGCCGCGGUAAGACGUAGGGUGCGAGCGUUGUCCGGAUUUAUUGGGCGUAAAGAGCUCGUAGGCGGCUUGUCGCGUCGACCGUGAAAACUUGGGGCUCAACCCCAAGCCUGCGGUCGAUACGGGCAGGCUAGAGUUCGGUAGGGGAGACUGGAAUUCCUGGUGUAGCGGUGAAAUGCGCAGAUAUCAGGAGGAACACCGGUGGCGAAGGCGGGUCUCUGGGCCGAUACUGACGCUGAGGAGCGAAAGCGUGGGGAGCGAACAGGAUUAGAUACCCUGGUAGUCCACGCUGUAAACGUUGGGCGCUAGGUGUGGGGGACCUCUCCGGUUUCCUGUGCCGCAGCUAAC
rnacentral:rRNA from 1 species